UAGAAAUGCAAGUGGACGAGUGCCAACCCAAUGAGGCUAAUGAUUUGCAAGUGGAGACCUCUGAGCAACUUGGUAAAGAAAGCAGGGCUUGGCCUUCGCCCGGGAGGCUUGGGACCCCUGACCACCCCCUACCCCAUCACCAAUAAACCUCUCAGAAGGAGGAAUUCUGUGACAGCCCUCAGAAGAGAGUGGCUAUCCACUGGCCACAGCGAUGACUAAAGCGAGGUUCAUGCCACAGAAGAACACAAAGGUCACCAAAGCUGUCUAAAGCAGACACUGAAUUUAUUAUUCGCCGAAGAAGGGGAGACACUCAUUUCGUUAAGAAAGGUCAGAACAGCUCUCCAAACUGAAGGUGAAUAGGACAGAUACACUGUGGAAAAGAGGACAUUUUGUUCAAAGGUCUGAUUGGCUCAAAAAGCAAGUUGUAAACUCUCUUCUGGGACUGACUGCUUUUCUGACUUUGUGUCACAGAGGCAUGAGAACAGCUCGUGGGAGAUUCUGGAUGGAUCUGACCUGUGGUGCACGGCCCUGGCAGCCUGGUGUCUGUGCCUCCUCUCGAGGGAUUCCUGAGCCCUGGCUUGUUCUUGAAUUUGCAGGAGCCACAGACCCUUCACCCCAUGCCAACUGACCAGAGGCCUGAUGCUCCUGCCCUCUUCUCUCCCUGCCACUCCAACCAGAAGACCUCUGGCCAGUUGCCAUCCAGGGACCUGGCAUGACCUCCCCAGCCUUUGAGGCAGUGAUCUGGAUGCCCAGAGAGUCAAAUACAGAGAACCAGGGACUGGCACCCCAGCUGUGGGUUCUCAGAGUGGGCUCAUGUGAAGGAGUGAGAAACAAGGAGCACAGGAACCUCUCUCUGGCAGCCCACCCCUCUGUGCCCACGGAACCCGCUACUGAGGGCUCAGCAUGAGGACUGUGUGCAGCCUCUCCUGAGACCCUCACUCACCAGGUACUUGCAGAUUUCCUCCAGGACCUACAUGCAUGUGGUCGCUGAGCGUGGCACGCAGCAAUGGCUGGAUGAGUGAGGACCAGCCAAUCAUGUCAGCCCACACCGCCAGAGCCUUUCCCCAGGCCUAUGGGAUGGAGAGAAGGGAGGCCUCAACCUCACUCCUGUGACUCUCCAGCCAAGGGGCUGAGUGGAAGCCCUUCCGUCAUAAAGAGAGGGCAGAUAUGUUCAGAGCCACCCAGAGGACAAUGUCAAAGAGGUGAAUGUAGAGCCUACAGGCAAGGCUGGGCUCAUGGAAAUGGCCACAGGGAAGGGGCCCUGCUCUCAAGGAAAGGGGACACAUAUCAGGCCUGGCAGUGGCCAGACAAGUGACAGCCAGUGUACCUGGAGCACUUCCAUGUUAUUUUCCUGAAUGCUGAGCACCAAUGAUAUCAGAAGUGUGAAAAAAUUUUGGGGGGUGAUGCCUCCAGGCUUACAUGUUUUUAGUUGCUGCAGCAUGUGGCCCACAGCAGAGGUGGCUGAGAUCCUCACCUUCUCCUGCUCCUGCCAGGAAGCGCAAAGUGGAGAUGAGAGGCAGUGGCUUCCCUGGCCCUGCCUGGCCUGGCUUCCGUCCUUCCACAUCUUGGUCUCUGUGUGCAAGGGGCCCCAGCUGUACUGUGCUUAGCUGAUGCAUAGACAACAUGAUGUGUGUAUGUGAGGGGUUCUCUCUAGAGACCAAGAGCUAAGAAGCCCGUUGAUGAAGGCACAGUGCUAGGAAAUAAGGUCAUCGUUUCAGUUCUACCGUGGACUAUAUCCGCAGCUUGUGACAUUGUUUCCAAAGUGUUCAAGCAAUUCUCCUGGCUCAGCCUCCUGAGUAGCUGGGAUUAUAGGCACCUGCCACCACACCUGGCUAAUUUUUGUAUUUUUAGUGGAGACAGGGUUUCACCAUGUUGGUCAGGCUUGUCUCAAACCCCUGACCUCAAGUGAUCUGCCUCCCAAAGUGUUCUGAUUACAGGUAUGAGCCACAGCGCCCAGCCCUGCACACCUUUAGACCAAGUAUUCAUGUCAUCUACCUGCCUGUCCAUCCACACACUUGGGUACUUACCUUCCUGACACUGGCUUAAUCUGCUAUUUUAUUUUCUUGGCUACCUACUACCUAUGAGUAGGUUUCCUUGCCUUCCCUUGGCACGCAUGUCUUCUGACCUAGACCUCUGAGGUACCAGGGAAUUUCCAAAGUUGCUUCCACAACUUCUUCCCACCUUCCUGAUGGUUUACUCACAGCUUCAGAAGAAGCUCUGUGCUCCAGAAACUGGUCCCCACCCUCACCCUGACAUAUAAGCCAGAGACUUCACAGACUAAGAACAGGUCCCUUCCUCUUCUCCUCUUGUCCUCUUGCACCCUCUAGAGAGCUCUUUCCCUCCAUCACUGGGAAGGUGUAUGUUGGACGGGGUGGGAGGUUGAGGUAAGUGAGUCCCUGCCCUCCUGAUAGGAGAGAAUCACUUAAUGACCAAAGCUCAUUCGCAGAUGCCUGGGGACUUUUCUUGGGGAUGAGCCUUGGAACCUUCUCUUUCCAAAAGCCACAAGGAGAACUGGAGGAGAUUUGUACCUUGGUCCUAAUGACUGUGAGGUAGAACAACCCACAAAGGGUCAUCAGGAAGCUGUGGGUUAAAUCACAUCUCUACAAACUGCCUCCAAGGAGCUUCCAGGUGGCAGUGGAGAAACAUAUCACCUGCCAGGGUACAGAUGCCUGAGAUGGAAGCAUUAGUUUGAUCAGAGAACAAGGGCAGCAGUGGGUGGGAGUGCUCUAUGGAUUCUUCAUUCUCCUAAUUCUUCUCACUGGACAGCACCACUUAUGGGCCUGGUGUGGUGGCUCACGCCUGUAAUCAUAGCACUUUGGGAGGCUGAGGUGGGAGGAUCACUUGAGCCAGGGAGGUCUAUGCUGCAGUGAGCCAUGAUUGCGCCACUGCACUGCAGCCUGGGGGACAGAGUGAGACCCUGUCUCAAAAAUAAAAAGGAGAUUAUGCAGAGGGUCUGAAACGAAAAAGUUUAGCUCUAGAGGUAGACAAUAGAGCAUGGCAAUUGGAAGACUGAAUGUGCUGAGCCACCCUGUACACAAGUCCCUAUAAAAAUCAGAAGAUGUCAUGGCAGGUGUGCCCAAGGACGUGUAGUUUUCUCCUCACGAAAAGAAUGUCUUAAGCACUGUAAAGAGGUCAGUGCAGGGGUGAACAACACCAAUUUAAGCAUUGACAUGUGUUGGGGUUUGUGACGGCUGUGAGAGAUGCAACCAUGACUGGAAUUCCUCACUAUUCCCAGAAAGCUAGUGUGUAGAAGGAGAGGAUACAGCUGAGAUUUGGAAUGACAUGUGGUAGGGAGAAGGGGGAUGUAUGCACGGGUACAGGAGGUCAGUGGGGAGGGGCUUGGGUUAGAGGUGAGGCAAGGGACAAGGGAGGCUUCUUGAGAAAGGGAUGUCUGCACUGCAUUUUGAAGAAUGAGUGGGAAUUUGGAGACUGAGUGUGAGAGGCACUGCAGGCAGUGAAGAACCUGCAUAACAUCCUCUGCCAUAUGCAGGGCAGGGACACCAAGCCACUCUUCUGCAGUAUUGCCAGGCAGCUGCAUCCACUGAUUAAUGAUGUAUGUGCCCAGGUCCCUAGGAUCAGUUGGACACAAUAUGGGCUUAGCUUAGGAUACUGGGUUAGGGCAAGGCACCGUGGUGCGAGGCCUAGGUCACCAAGGGACAGAAGAAAGGAGACUUGGCUACUUGAAGCUGAGCAUAGGACAUGUCCCAAAUGCAUUACUUACUCCAUGCAAUGGAGCACACACUCCUCCACUGACUCACCAGAAUUUUCUGGAGGAGCCACUGGUACCCAAAUAAGAAACCAACUGACUGAUAUGAAGAUGGUUCUGACUCGAAGGAUCUUAUUCUGCAGACUCCACUCAUGGAGUGAAGCGGGGAGAGAACAAGUGGCUCUACCCCCCUCCCAAAUCAUACAGAAGCCUUAGGAUCCCAGGGUCCUCAUGGCAAGAGAAACGUAAGACUCAGAAAGUUGAACUGACCAGACCUGUCCCACUCCUUCUCACAUCUCAUCUUCCUUGCAGGUGACACAAGUUUAGAGCUGGGAAGGACCUGACAUCCCUGAGACACAGGUUUAUGGGACUCCAGCUCUGGCAUCUAUAACUCUCUCAACUUGUGAGCCUUGGAUUUCAACUAUUUUUGUAUUGGUCUCAUCUCCUCUAUGACUUUGGACACCUGCUGGUGGCAAGGCCAAUGUCAGACUCACCUAUCUUUCUGUUAUGUUUAAAAUUUACCAUGUGUACUAUACUUGACUUAACUAAGUCUGAAGAUAAUAUCUUUUUCCUUCCUCCAAAUGAUACAAUCCAUGGAUCUUUGAAUGCUUGAAUUCUGAUCACAGCCUCCCACAUGAUAUACUAAUGUUGCCCAGUAUUAAAAUACUGGGCUAAAGCUCCACCUUUGUAUUUAACCUGUAAAUUUGCUCUUUAUGUCAUCAUCUUCAUGACUGUCAUGAUUUUGUACAGUUAAUACUGGUUUAGAUCUACCCAUAUGCUUACAAAUUUCUUGGCUUAUAUUUCUUUCUUCCAGCUCUUUCCUCCCUUUUAGAUUUAUUUUGUUUUUCCUUCCUUUGUGGUUCCUUCAGUGAGGGUCUCUUAGUAGUAAACAUUUUUAGUCUUUGAAAAUGUCUUUAUUUGGCCUUAUAUUUGUCUCUGCUUUCAGCAGUCUGUGAUGUUUCUAGGCAUACAUUUCCUUGGUUUUAGUCUGUUUGAGGUUCACUGAGCAACUUUAAUCUCUAAAUUGAUACCUUUCACCAAACUUGGAAAGUUUUUACUAUUAUUUCUAGAAUUGUUGUUCAGCCCCACCAUGCUCUUUCUCUUCUUUUAGGACUCUCACGACACAAAUGUUACACCUUUUGUUAUGGUCUCAGGUCACAAGAUACUUUUGGUUUUGAAUCAUUUUUCUCUCUGUUCAGAGUGGAUAAUUUUUAUUGAUCUGUUUUCAAGUUCACUGAUUCUUUCCUUUGGCAUCUCCAUUUUACUAUGGAGCCUACCCAAGCUUAUAUUUUUCAGUUCUAAAGCUUUCCACGGUUUUUCUGUAUGUCUUCUAUUUCUUUGCUGAGACUAUUUCUGUUAUUUCAAGAGUGUUCACCGUGGCUUUUUGGAACACUUUGCACAGUAACCGCUUUAAAGUUUUUAUUACAUAAUUCCAAUCUCUUUCCCCUUGACUUCAGGGCAUGUUCAUUUUCUUCCCAUGUGAGUUGAAAUGUUCCUGGUCCUUUGCAUGCUGAGUGAUUAUGGAUUGAAUCAUAGACAUUAUGAAUAUGAUAUUAUGUGACUGUGGGUCUUCCAAGAGUGUCCUGGUAAUUUUAGCAGGCAAUUGACCUAUUUACCUUCAGGCUGCCAAUCCUGUCAGCCGUCCGCGGGUUGUGAUUCCAAUGCCAGUUCUUGGUUCGAAGCCUCUGCUAUUGUGCAUUUGGGCCACCAGCCAGCCUGGGACCUGGAUAGUAGUCCAUCCUGUAGUUCAGUUCUCAUUGUCUAUGACGUGCUGGUCAGGGUCAGACCUGGGUAUGUAAUGAGCUCGGGAGUUCAUAAACACCUUUAUAGGAUCACUUUCCUCCUCUCUGCCACCUCCCUGGUACUUUACAGUUCCCUGGGGCUCCCCUUCUUCAGUGGCCAGAAAGCUGGGGCUUUUGUUGCUCCACAGUGCCAGGCACUUCUGUGACUGUCCCCACAUCUGGUGCUAAGUGGCAAGCGGCAGAGAAGAAAUAAAGCAAUGGGAAUUUUCCUCAUCCUCUUGGGCCCACAGUGACUGCAAAUGGAGAGGAGGGCUUCCCUCCCUCAGUUUUGUUUUCUGCAGGUUCCCAUGGGGCCUGCUUGGAGGCUGAGGCUUGAGAGACCGAGAGAAAAAGAAACGAGGGAUUUCUUCACUUCCUUUGAGCAUUGUGAAGUGUUUCUGGCUCCUUGGGUGUUACCUAGAGGGAUUCUCUCAGAGCUCUCUCUGUAUCCCGGUGCAUACACCUCCGUUUCUGGUUGUGUGGCUUGCAGGCUGUGGAUCCCAGGAGAUAUUACAACCCAUGCCCUGGGGGGUUAUUGGGACCAGUGAUGCCCUCCAACCCCUAGUAGGUGGAGUGUCAGCAAACUUUUUGUUUUUGGUCCCUAGAGAUUUCUCUUACUCUCCUGCAAGCUCAGCUAUGCAUAUAUAUAAUAUUUUAUCUAGUAUAUCAAGGUGUUUAGAGUAAGAAGGUUGUUAUCUUCCAUAUUGCUGAAUUUGGAAGUCAGGAGCUAUAGUCCAAGUGAGAAGUACUAAGUGGCCAUCACCUACACAGAGGCCACCUGGGGAAAUGGUAAGAGCUGCACCACAGGGCCCCUCAGAUGUGGGUGCUGGGUGCUGCUUUGCCAUUCACCCAGUCAUGUGGAGGGAGGCAGGGCACUGAGGCAAAGCUUACUGGUCUCAUCAUCUGUGAAACUUUCUUCUACUAUUUUGGUUCACAUGCCCUCUUUUCUCUUCUGUCUGUUCCAUUUUUGGAAUUUACUUGGAUUUAUUCUCUAUGUUUCUUAAUUUCUCUUCCAUAUUUCCCAUUUCUUUGUCUACUUUGGAAGAAUUUCUGGGCUGAUUCACUUUUAACGAAUUCACCCUUUAGUUGUGGUUAUUCUGCUAUUCAACCCACCUAUUGAAUUUUCAUUUAACUUUUUGUUUUUCUAAUGCAGAAGGUACUCUAUAUUUUUCUCUUCUGGAUGAUGUUGUGGUAUCUUGAUAGUUAUUUCAUUAUUCUGUGGCGAUAUUGCCUGACCAGUGCCUGUAUUGAUUUAUUUAUUGAUUUAUAUAUAACUUCAAAUUUUGAAUUUCUAAGCACUUUAGGAACUGAACUCAAUAUCUUUUAAGAAAAAGUUUCUGGGGAUUCAAUAGUACUUUCUCUAAAGUUUUGUUCAGAUUUUAUUGUUAACUCCAUCCUUGGAUGGUGGGUUUUCUUUUGGUUUUGCUUGCUUGAAACAGGGUCUGGAUCUGUCACCCAGGCUGGACUGCAGUGGCAGGAUCAUGACUCACGGCGGCCUUAACCUCCCAGGCUCGUGAUCCUCCCACCUCAGCCUCCCAGCUGGUACUACAGGCACAUGUCACCAUGCCUGGCUAAUUUUGCAUUUUUUUGUAGAGAUGGGGAUCACCAUGUUGCACAGUCUGGUCUUGAACUCCUGGGCUCAAGCAAUACUGUGCCUCUGCCUCCAAAAGUGCUGGGAUAAUAGGUGUGAGCCACUGUGCCCGGCUGGAUGCUGGGUGUUGUGUUUCUUGAACGUUUCCUUUCAUCUGUAGUGCUGGUUUUCCUAAAUGUAUAUCGAUCCUUGGUAGUGACUUCUGGCAUUUUUAUACUAGAAUUUCUUGGCUGGCCCUGUGUGAAAGCAACACCCGUGACUGCAGAUGAAUCUUUAGGAUUCACAGUCAAAUGGGUGAACAUCCACCAGAUCCACGAUGAGGAUAUGCAGCUGAUAUGGGAUGGUGAGUCUGGGCCUUGCACCUGGGUUCUGGGUGACACUAGGGGGCGGGGUGAGAGAGAAUGGGGGAUGAAGACAUUUCUUAAGAACAUGGUUCAUCAUUUUAUUUUUACCAUUAUCAAUGUCAUAUAGAAAAGUGGAAAAUGGAGAAAAGUAUUUGGAACGAAUAAAUUAUACAUUGUCCCACUAGUGAGAUAAAAAGACUGCUAAUAUUUUGGGGAUCUCCCCUUCCAGUCCAUGAACAUUUAUAAUGUGCUAUAGGUGCUUACAGUGAAAUGGUGUUCAAGACAGACACAUCCCUGCUCUUCAUAAACUUGCAGUUUUUUGUUUUUUAUUGCACUGAACUCUUCUAACAUUAAUUUAUAUUUACAGAAGAAAAUGCACAAAUACAGUGUCUUUACAAAAGAGUAGAAAUGUGACCAACAAGGGUAAAGUUGCACUCACCCCACUCCACCUCGCUCCUCUGCCCUCCUCCCCUGCCUGUUUGCUGUAGAGUCCUGUGUUCUUUGUCUUUAUAUACAUUCUAUAAAUACACAUAUACAAAUAUAAUUUUUAUUUAUUAGUAGUAUUUCAAUAGUUUUGGGGGAACAGGCUGUUUGCUUAGAUGGAUACAUUCUUUAGUGGUGAUUUCUGAGAUUUUGGUGCACUCAUCACCCAAGCAGUGUACACUGCAUUGAAUGUAUAGUCUUUUAUCCCUCACCACCCUCCCACCCCUUCCCAAGUCUCCAGAGUUCAGUGUAUCUUUCUUAUGCCUUUGCAUCCUCAUAGCUUAGCUCCCACUUAUAAGUGAGAACAUAUGGUGUUUGGUUUUCCAUUCCUGAGUUACUUCACUUAGAAUAAUGGUCUCCAACUGCAUCCAGGUUGCUGCAAAUGCCAUUAUUUUGUUACUUUUUUAUGGCUGAGUAGUAUUUUAUGUUGUGUGUGUGUAUAUAUAUAUAUACACCACAAUUCCUUUACUCACUCGUUGGUUGAUGGACAUUUAGGCUGGUUCCAUAUUUUUGCAAUUGUGAAUUGUGCUGCUAUAAACACAUGUGUGCAAGUGUCUUUUUCAUAUAAUGACUUCUUUUGGGAAGGCAGAUACCCAGUAGUGGGAUUGCUGGGUCAAACGGUAAUUCUACUUUUAGUUCUUUAAGGAACCUCCGUAAGGUUUUCCAUCAUGGUUGUACUAGUUUACAUUUCCACCGGCAGUGUAAAAGUGUUUCCUUUCCACCACAUCCACACCAACAUCUAUUGUUUUUUGAUUUUUAAAUUUUGGACAUUCUUGCAGAAGGAAGGUGGUAUCUGUGGUUUUGAUUUGCAUUUCCCUGAUAGUGAUAUUGAGCAUUUUCUCACAUGUUUGAUGGCCAUUUGUACAUCUUCUUUUGAGAAUUGUCUAUUCAUGUCCUUAGCCCUCUUUUUGAUGGAAUUGUUUUUUUCUUGCUGGUUUGAGUUCCUGGUAGAUUCUACAUAUUAGUCCUUUGUUGGAUGCAUAGUUUGCAAAUAUUUUCUUCCACUCUGUGGGUUGUUUACUCUGCUGAUUAUUUCUUUUUCUGUGCAGAAGGUUUUUUAGUUUAAUUAAGUCUCAUCUAUUUAUAUUUGUUUUUGUUGUAUUUGCUUUUAAGUUUUUGGUGAUGAACCCUUUGCCUAGGCCAAUGUCUGGAAGAAUUCUUCUGUUAGCUUCCAGAAUUUUUAUGGUUUCAGGUCUUAGAUAUAAGUCUUUGAUCCAUCUUGAGUUGAUUUUUGUGUAAGGUGAGAGAUGAGGAUCCAGUUUCAUUCUUCUACAUGCGGCUUGCCAAUUAUCUCAGCACCAUUUAUUGGUUAGGGUGUCCUUUCCCCACUUUAUGUUGUUGUUUACUUUGUUGAAGAUCAGUUGGCUGUAUUUGGCUUUAUUUCUGGGUUUUAUUCUGUUCCAUUGGUCUAUGCACCUGUUUUUAUACUAGUAUCAUGCUUUUUUGGUAACUAUAGCCUUAUAGUAUAGUUUGAUGUUGGGUAAUGUGAUAUUUCCAGAUUUGUUGUUUUUGUUUAGUCUUGCUUUGACUAUGCAGGCUCUUUUUUUGUUCCAUAUGAACUUUAGGAUUGUUUUCUCUAGUUCUGUGAAGAAUGAUGCUGGUAUUUGGAUGGAGAAAAUAAUUUGGAUGGAGCAUUGAAUUUAUAGAUUGCUUUUGGAAGUAUGGUCAUUUUCACAAUAUUUAUUCUACCUAUGCAUGAGCAUGGGAUGCGUUUCCAUUUGUUUGUGUCAUCUAUGAUUUUUUUCAGGGGUGUUUUGUAGUUUGCAUUGCAGAGAUCUUUCACCUCUUUGAUUAGGUAUAUUCCUAAGUUUUUUUUUUAAGCUGUUGUAAAAGGGGUUGAGUUCUUGAUUUGAUUCUCAGCUUAGUCACUGUUGGUGUAUAGCAGUGCUACUGAUUUGUGUACAUUGAUCUUGUAUUCUGAAACUUCACUGAAUUCAUUUAUCAGAUAAAGGAGCUUUUUGGAUGAGUCUUUAGGGUUUUCUAGGUAUACGAUCAUAUCAUCAACAAACAGCAACAGUUUGACUUCCUCUUUACCAAUUGGGAUGCCCUUUAUUUCAUUCUCUUGUCUCAUUGCUCUGGCUAGGACUUCCAGUACUAAGCUGAAUAGAAGUGGUAAAAGUGGGCAUCCUUAUAUUGCUCCAGUUCUCAAAGGAAAUGCUUUCCACUUUUCCCUGUUCAGUAUAAUGUUGGCUAUGGGUCUGUCAUAGAUGGCUUCUAUUACCUUAAGAUUUGUCCCUUCCAUGCUAAUUUUGCUGAGGGUCUUAAUAAUAAAGAAAUGCUGGAUUUGUAUCAAAUGCUUUUUCUGUGUCUAUUGAGAUGAUCACAUGAUUUUUGCUUUUACUUCUGUUUAUGUGGUGUAUCACAUUUAUUAACUCAUAUAUUUUUCAGGGGUUGGGGACAGAGUCUUGCUCUGUCACCCAGUCUGGAGUAUAAUGGCAUGAUCUUGGCUCAUUGCAACCUCCACCUCCCGGGUUCAAAGGAUAUUCAUACCUCAGCCUCACAAGUAGCAGGGAUUUCAGGUGUGUGUCACCAUGCCCAACUAAUUUAUUUGUAUUUUUUAGUAGAGUCAGGGUUUUGCCAUGUUGGCCAGGCUGGUCUCAAACUCCUGGCCUUAAGUGAUCCAACCACCAUGGCUUCCCAAUGUGCUAGAUUACAGGUGUAAGCCACUGUGCCCGGCCUGACUUGUGUAUGUUAAACCAACCCUGAAUCCCUGGUAUGGAGCCCACUUGAUCACGGUGUAUUAUCUUUUUGAUACGCUGUUGAAUUUGGUUAGCUAGUAUUUUGUUGAGGAUUUUUGCAUUGAUGUUCAUAAGGGAUAUUUAUAAAUAUGUGUAUGAAAAGUUUCAGACACUUGUUUGUUUCCCACUGAAAUGUUGGUUCCAACAGAUCUACUGCAUUCCCAGUAGUGUUCCGUGGUAUUGAUAUUCUAGAGUUUAGAAAUCAUUUCCCAUGUAGAUGAACACUGAAGUUGUUCCCAGGAUGUUACUAUUCAAGCAAUACUAGCAUGAACUUUUUUUUAUUGUUAUAUUAAAUUCUGGGGCGCAUGUGCAGGAUGUGUAAGUUUGUUAAAUAGGUAAAUGUGUGCCAUGGUGGUUUGCUGCACCUAUCAACCCAUCAUCUAGGUAUUAAGCCCAGCAUGCAUUAGUUAUUUUUCCUGAUGCUGUUCCUCCCACUGUCCCCAGAACGUUUUUAAAUAUGCCUCCUUAUACACAAUUGUGAAGGGUUCUCCGGGCUAGGUACCAAAAAGUAGACUUUUAUCAUGCAUUCUAAACUUAACAGAGUGUGAAGUAAAACCACAUUAUAACCUUCUGUCCUGUCUUGACACUCAUUCCAAUCACUGUCCUUCCCAAUUACAGGCUUUUGAUGGCCAUUAUUUUAGUUCUAUCUAGCCCAGAAAUUAGAGGCUGUAUUAGUUCGUUCUCACACGGCUAUGAAGAGACUGGGUAAUUUAUUCAGGAAAGAGGUUUAAUUGACUCACAGUUCUGCAUGGCUGGGGAGGCAGGAAACUUACAAUCAUGAUGGAAGGUGAAGAGGAAGCAAGGCGCCUUCUUCGCAAGGCAGCAGGUGGAAGAAUUGCUAGCAAGAGCAGGGAAAUCUCCCUUAUAAAACCUUGAGACCUCGUGAGAACUCACUAUCAUGAGGACGGCAUGGAGGAAACCACCCCCAUGAUCCAAUUACCUCCACCUGAUCUCUCCCUUGACACCUGGCAUUAGGGGGAUUACAAUUCAAGAUGAGAUUUUGGGUGGGGACACAGCCAAACCAUUAUCAGAGGCUAUGACUGCCAUCAUUUUAUACAAACUGUUUAGAUUUACAUACAUUCUUACAUUUCUUUUGCAUGUCUGACCUUCCUUUGAGGCCCAUCCACUUCUCUUCAUUGCAGAGUCAGCUUUUAAAAGUUUCUUUAGUGCUCUUAAGUGAGCUCCCUUAGUUUUUGUUUGAAAUGUUAUUUACUGUCAUUCUUGAAAGACCACUGUACUGAUGACUCAAUUCUAGAGUGACAAUUGUUUUCCCUUGGCACUUUGAAGAUAUUAUAUAGUAUAGUUUUCUGGCUUUCUUUGUCGGUGUGAAGAAGCCUGGGGUCAUUCUAAUUUUUGUUCCUUUGUAGGUGAUCUUUUUUCUCUAGGUGGUUUAAGAUUUUCCUUUUUUUUCGUUUAUUUAUUCACUUUUAUUUUAAGUUCAUUGGUGCAUGUGUAAGCUUGUUAUCUAGGUGAACAUGUGUCAUGGGGGUUGGUUGUACAGAUUAUUUCAUCACCCAGGUACUAAGCCUACUACUCAAUAGUUAUUCUUCCUGGUCCUCUUUCUCCUUCCACCCUCCACCACUUGAUAGGCCCCAGUGUGUGUUGUUCCCCUCUAUGUGUCCAUGUGUUCUCAUUAUUUAGCUCCCACUUAUAAGUGAGAUCAAGCAGUAUUUGGUUUUCUGUUCCUGUGUUAGUUUGCUAAAUAUAAUCGACACUAGUUCCAUCCAUGUCCCUGAAAAAUACAUGAUCUUGUUUUUUUAUUUUAUGGCUGCAAAGAUUUUCAGUUGUGUUUUCAGUGCUCUACAGAAGUAUAGAGAAUGGUAUCACAAACUCCCAUGUGCCCAUUCCCCAGCCACAGCAACUCACGCCACCCGUGUUUUUCUGUCUCCUUACUUACACUGUCUCCCUGCCAGGAUUAUUGUGAAUCAGAUCCCAGACUUCUUAUUGUUUCAUCUAUAACUAUUUUGGUGCAUAUUUCUAAAAUCAUAUUAUUUUAAAAUUGAAACAUUUUUAAAAAUUGUAGUGGGCAAAUUAUAGAGUAAAGUGCAAGCUAGGCACAAAUUUCUAAGAUAAAAGAGAUCCCAAGAUUGUGUAGAAUAGAGAGGCCCUGAGCAAUUCAUCCAGACACCAGAGAUUGCCAGCUCACUCUCAUUUACCCAUCCUGACAUCCAACCCUACCCAUUACAGAGGCUAAGCCAUUUGUCCAAGGUCACAUAGAGAAUGACUGGGAGAAUCAGUAGAAUUCCAAUUCAGGGCUCUUCCCACAGCCCGUGUUCCCUACAUUGUUCUUGAAUCUUCCCAAAGUCCUGAGAAAGAAAAGAGGUAGGGAGUGGGAGUUGUGGCUACGGAGAAAGAGGAGUUGAUAUUUCCAAUGUAUAUCAGAAGCAAACUUGAACUCACCUUUCACAGCCUUCCUUAGCACCAACAGCCAAACACAAAUACCUGUGUUUUAUACAGAAUGCACUUCUGCCAACUCCCACCCUUGCUGUUUACACAAAUUUGUUUCUUAAUUAUUGAAAACCUCCUGUGUGCCAGGUGAUUCUCUAAGCCCUGGGGAUGCUGCACUGAAUUAAGCUGAUGUCCCUGGCUUCAUGCAACUUACAUUCUAGUCAAGGAGAGGAAGCAAGCCCUCAACAAGGGCAUACAUGUCAGGGAAGCACCAUGGAGAAAAUAAAGCAAGGGGAGGGGCUGAGCAGUGUAUGAGGGUGAGGUGACAGAAAUGUCCUCUCCAAUAAGGAGGCACUUCACCAGAGACCCCUGUUAAACUAAAGGACGCAAGAAGGUCAGAAUUUACCUUAAAUAGAGUUGAUUUAGGCACAAACGUUGAGGACAGGCCUGUGUGGGAAGCCCAGAUUCCACAGAAUGGAAGUCUGUAUUCCAAAGUGAAGUUUGGGAUCCUUUAUACAGAGGAAGCUUGGGAAAGCCUAGCAGAAUUUCAACAUCUUUCUGUGUAAGGUUUAAUGCAUCAUUUAAAUGAUCUAAUUAGUCCAGGUGGUCUUUUUCUUUGUGGAAAGGUAGAUUUAACAUUCCUCACUGAAGAUUUAACAGUCUUGGCAUCUCGGGUGUCAUCUGGUCUUAGCAAGGUACACGACAAUAAAGGAGUCAGUUAACCUAUAACAAAGAUCUGGGUUCGGUAGUGGGCAAGGCCUGGUCUCUGGUCUCUCCUACUCAUUCACAGAAGAGGAACAAUGGGGAAGAGAGUUCUCCUUUAAUCUGAGAAGCAGAAUUGGAAACCGGUGGUGCGACUCAGUCUUGGGUCUUAAUAUCCUUCUGGGUGUAAUAAACUUGGAGGGUGCUGAAACAGUAUUUUCUUUGACACCUUGAAGGAAGGGAGAAAGGGAGCUCUAUGGCUCUCUAAGGGAAGAGUCCUUGGCAUGUUCAAGGAUCAAGAAGCCAGUAUGAUGAUCAUGGAGGGAGCAGAAGGAAGAGCAGGAGAUGAGAUGAGAGAAGAGUAGUGGGGCCAGAAUCCUCUUGGGUCUUCUAGGCACAGUCAAGAUUGAGGGUUUUACUUUGAGUGGGAUGGGAGCUCACUGAAGCACAGUUUUUAACUUCUCUAAGAAGGAAGAGAGGGGUGAACAGUGCUUGUGAUAGGGUGUGAGGAUAGUCAGUCCAUUCUAGGACCAAGCAGAAAUAGGUUAUAAAUUACUUGUUCCUGUUUUCCAUGUAACAAUUUCCUUCCUUUGAUGUGGAGACAAAACAGAAAGAAUGUUUGCUUUGGUAGAUCAUCUUCAGCAUCCCUCUGUGCUUAAGGAGGCGUAUGCACAUUGGAAUGUCCUGACAUGAGUGUCCAGGGUGCUGUUGUUGCCUUUUUUGUUGCAAACUCUUGUCCUUGAGGUGUUUGCCUUCUGAUUUGAACCUAAUCAGGGUAUUGAAUACUGUGGCUGCUAAGAGAUCAUAUUUUGCAUAAGCUGCUUUUGAGAGAACGGUGAAUGAUUGACUCCUCAGAGAAAAUGCCUAGCAGACCUCUGCAGAUGGAGAAUUCCUUAUUUCCCAUAUGUGUCAUUCCCAGUUCUUUGUCUAGAGAGUCAAGUAUUGAACUAAACGAUAUUUCAGGGUCCUCUCUCUCCUCCUAGUCAGUGGUGAAAUGGAAAAGCAGGGGCUCCAGAACCAGCCAGAUCAGUUUCCAUACCAGCUCUAUGAGUCAGGACCCUGCAGACUUGGGCACGUGACUUCAUCUCUAGGCCUUUCUUCAUCUGUGUCAUGAGAGUAACAGCGCUGAUCUUGAACAUCGUUGUCAUUAUUGAAUAAAAAUGCACAUAAUGUGCUGAGCUUUGCUGGGCACAUAGAUGUCCCACAAGACAAUUUCAUUGCCUUGAUUCGGGUGUCUAGGUGCGGGCGGGGGAUGAUAUGGAGGGUGGCAGGUAGGGAGCGUCCUUAUAGCUGUAGUCAGGGAAAACUGAAAUAGUCAGUUGCUUCUCCGAGAGCAGCCGUGCCACCUCUGAAGCACGAGUAACUGGCAGGGCUGUCUGUCCCCUUUGGGCUGCAACCUGGCUUCAAUUCUGACCCUGACAUUGUGUGCUUCUGAAGCCUUCUCCUCUUGUUUUGACACCUGAAGUCCCCCUGUAUAUCCUAGACUUCUCAGUCUACCAGAGCAUUCACCUUACUUUCUUCAUCCCACCCUGCCUUUGAUGAUGCCUAAGUCCCCGAGACAGGAGGAAGUCUUCCCCAGAAAGGUACUAUAGCAGCACUUAUACCCAUGUUUAAUGUCCCAGAAACCUUGUGUUCAAGUAAUGCUUUCUCAAGGGUCUUAUGUCUUUUCUGUUAGAGCUUCAGCCCCGUUCUUGUGUUCUGUUCUAAGUGAAUGAAACGAACAUUAUGCUGUAGACAUUGAUGGGUUUGAAGGCCUAAAAUGAACAAGUUUUGUUGAACAAAGAUUCUUUCUCGUCUUUAUCCUUUUCAUGCUAAGGAAUUUCCUGUCUCCAUUUCUUUUGUUCCCACCCUACUCUACACCCUCAUGAUUCCCUAACGGGACCACUUUAACAGCCUCCCAACACCCUCUUCCUCUUCUCUAUACGAUUCUGCUCUUAGCAGCCAGAUUCUCUUUAGAACAUGCAUGCUGGAACAUGCCACUCCUUGCUUUAAACCCCUCAGCAGCUCCCUACUGCUCUUAGGGUCUCAGUCUGCUCCCAUAUUCUCACUCACCCGACUCAGAAUGUCCUGACCUCUGAGGCCUCUCACCCUUAGCCUACACCACUUCCUGCCCCUCUGGGAACUGCAGUCACACUGGUACUUUCUAUGACACAAAGAGACCCCCCACACACACCACGUGGAAGUCUUCUGCCCUUGCCCUGUGUGUUCGUAGGCUGGCUUUCAACUUCGGGUCUGAGCUGGAGCAUCACCUUCUCAGAGAAACAUCCCCUGAUGGGCCUAAGGGCUCCUCCCCCGUCAUUUGGUCUCAGAACUCCCCUCAGCUUCCUCCCUUUUACUUAAUUUGCAUUUAACUGCUGAUUUGUCUUUCCCCCACCAGAAUGCUAACUUCUCAAGGGUGGGAAUCUGUUUUUCUUGUCCUCCCCUGGAUCCCCAGCCCCUAGCAGUGCCUGGUAAUAGUAAGUCCUCAAUAUAUAGUUGCUGAAUGAAUUUAUGAUUACUUUUUAUAACACUGAAAGAUUGCAAAGAAUCUAAUUAUUCAGAAAUAGGGUAUUCACCAAAAAAAUUAUGAUAGAAUUAGUCAGAUGUGGUGGCUCACACCUAUAGUCCCAAUGACUCAGGAGGCUGAGGUAGGAGGAUCACCUGAGCCCAGAAGGUUGAGGCUGCAGUGAGAUAUGAUCACGCCAUUAUACUUUAGCCUGGGUGACUGGUUGAGGCCCUGUUUUUUUUUUUUUAAAAAAGUUAUGGUAGAAUCAUGUGAUUGCCUGUUAUGCUGUAUAGAGGAAUAUAUUAUGGAAUGAAAAAAAUUACUAGUCCUAUUUUGUGAAAAAAAAAUCUAUCAACAUUCGGUUGUUUUUUGUUGUUGUUUGUUUGUUUGUUUUUUUGGUUGCUGUUUUAAAAAAAGACUGCAAGGACAGCUACCAAAUAUUAGCAGUGUUAUCUCUGGGGUGAGUGAUUUUUCUUCUUUUCCUUAAAAAAAAUUGUGUAUUAAGUAUUUCCUACAGUGAAACAAGUAUUGCUUUUAUAGUGGAAACAUGAUUCUAAGCAGAGCUGUGCAAUGCUGACCUGGCAUGGGGUGGG
rnacentral:lncRNA from 1 species